CAGUCGCCGCGGUAAUACGGAGGGGGCUGGCGUUGUUCGGAAUCACUGGGCGUAAAGGGUGCGUAGGCGGGUUUCUAAGUCAGGGGUGAAAUCCUGGAGCCCAACUCCAGAACUGCCCUUGAUACUGGAAGUCUUGAGUAUGGGAGGGGUGAGUGGAACUGCGAGUGUAGAGGUGAAAUUCGUAGAUAUUCGCAAGAACACCAGUGGCGAAGGCGGCUCACUGGCCCAUAACUGACGCUGAGGCACGAAAGCGUGGGGAGCAAACAGGAUUAGAUACCCCCGUAGUCCCUGUCUCUUAUAC
rnacentral:rRNA from 1 species